UCGGAUGAUGUGACGAAACUGAUCUUGAUAGAAAAAAAAUGCAGCAUGCGCAGCAGCUAUAUACAUUCAAAUACUGUAGUACAAUACAAUAUUGGGGCAAAAUCGGUCAGAUAUUCCUCCCUUGGGUUUGCAUGGAUAUACCAUGUUAGGGACUAUGGAUGUAUGCUCUGCUUCUAAUAACAUGUACGUGUAUAUGGAUUUCUUUGUCCAAUCACAGUUCAGGCUCUAUGUGUUGCCAUGUCAUCUGCCUCGGGCCUUCAGAAUUCAUAAUGCCGGCUGAUGUAACCCUUCAAAUUCAUUCAAGGCCCAUGUGCUGGUGCUCGAUCGAGAAUGUCUAUUUUUCCGUCCUCUGAUUGCUUGGUCAGAGCAAGCCAAGUUUGAAUAGCAAACACAUCUGCAUUUAACAACACACUUCUCUGUUGAAUACGAUGAAUUGUAUUUUUUUUAAACGUUUCGUCAAGUCAUUAGAUAAAUAUCAAUUCUGAAUAGCUACUGUAUUACAGGUCCUUAUGAACCCUUUUUAACCAUGUUGAAACCUAGACCUCAACAAAUCAGAACAGAUGUGGUGUUGGUCCAGUCAAAUUCUUGGUGUCCCAAAAUAGGCAACCCAUUCCAGCCCACUUUUCCGUCCCCUUGUUUAGGGCCUUGCCACAGUGGUAUCCCAGUUGUGUAGGGUGGAGAUAAUCACAUUUUUGUCUGAGAGAGAACUGUGUUGCGGAAGAAGACACUAUCCUUUCUUCUUUGUUCAAUCUACUGGUGGAAAUGAGAGCAGCCAACGAGGAACCAAUUGAUCAACGUAAGUAGUUAGUGUCAGCCCUCGGAAGAAGAGAUAAAAGAUACUGAAUAAUACUUACCGCUUAGAACGCAUGACCUGUUUUUAGUUUGCCAGAAUUAUUUUUUUUUUUGAUACUACGCAACUUAAUUAAGGCUGCUUCACGGUCAAGAAAAGAAAAACGAUUGCUAAGUUCAGGAGAAGGCUAAACAAGGCAGUGGCUGUCAUAAGCUAUCAAACUCUAAUAAGGCAUAACCCAGUGGUGGGUGGGCGAGGGAAGCCGCUGUUUUCCUGCUAUUUCCAUUUAUAGACUGCAGCAAUGAGCCCCCGGGAGAUUGCUUGCCAUGACUCAUGUCUCUUGUGCUUCCAGUCCAGACUGCACCCCCACCUCUUCAUCAUCCCGAAGCGCCACUGCCUUUUUUUGCCCUGUUAUGCAGUCCUACCGACUACAUUUUGUAGGGUAUAUUCUACUCUAAAAGUACUUUAGUUGGUCCCGGUCUAAACAGACACUUACAAACGAUUAAAAUGAACUUUUAUUUGAUGAGAACGUGUGUGCUCAUGCUCAUUUUACACUGAGGAGAGCCUCAUGUAUUCUGAGAUUUGCAAGAUUUAUUCUUGCUCUAAAAGAUUUUUCACUCAGAAAUGCGAGGUACAUUUUACAAGGACAGUUUUUGAAUAAAUUGCACUUGCAUAGUAUUAGUUGUUUUUUUUUUUAAAGUGACUCAAGGGUUAAGGAACAAAUCCAUGACAGUGAGGAAGGGAGACGUCCAUACUACUACCUGAGCCAUGCCACUCCGACUGAUCUCAGAUGUCAGGCGGACUACUCAUACUUCAGACCAGUAAUUUACUAGCAUGGCCCUUUCCCAACCAGAAGUUGGUGGUCUGGGUGUCAAUCCAUGUGAGUGAUUAAAAAAAAAAAAAAACAAACUCAAAAGCUCUUCUUGUAAAAUCAAUAGAAUAAAAUAAUAAUAAUAAUAAUAAUAAUAAUAAUAAUAAUAAUAAUAAUAAUAAUAAUAAUAAUAAUAAUAAUAAUAGGCUUGCUGUUUGGUUGACACGUCUGUACCAGUGGAUUUCAUUCAUGUACAAUCAUGUUUUUUUUUCUAAGCCUCCAGGCGGAUGAGGAGAGCGAGCAAGGAGUCAACGGGAGGAGUAAAGAACAAAGGUCACAUGAUGAUGAAAGCGUGUGCGCUGAAUCACAGCCGUGUAAAUAGUAGCUAGAAUACAGACGGCGGCCAUUUCUCAGAAUUGUUGUAUUCGUGCAACGUCAACAUGGGGGUGGAGAUAUGAGAGGGUUUGGGGGAGGUGUUGGGUCUCUGUCUGCUUCUUCUCUCUCUCUUUUUUUUUAAACCUGCAGGCUUCAUCACGUGGUGAGCUUGUCUUCUUCCUCCCCCUCCCUCGAAUCCCAGCCUCCCCCUCUCUUUGGUUUUAUUCCAGUCACGGCAGCCCCCCCCCCUCCCACCACCAUCUCCCCUUCCCCCUCUGCUCAACCUCAUCCCGCCUCUCUCUGCUCUGUCAGGUCACCCGCCUUGUUUGCUCAGAUGGAACACAAGAGGAAAUGAAAGCAAUAAGUCUACUGUUAACCCGUUCGUGGGACUGUGCUGUGCUUUCCUAUGCUGUUUCACCUUGUUGUUUCCAUAUUUUGAUGAUCAUUUACAGAGUAUGAUCAGGACACUGGGUCACAUAUACCUCUCUAACAUGGCAAAUCGAAAAUAAAAGACUGAAAGCAAGAUUUUACUUAAAAAUACAGGCCAAUCUCAACAUGCGCCACAAUGGAAACUGUGUGUGUGUGCGUGUGUGUGAGAGAGAGAGAGAGAGAGAGAGAGAGAGAGAGAGAGAGAGAGAGAGAGAGAGAGAGAGAGCUCACACUCACUUAUUUCCCCUUCAGUCUGCCACGUUUUUGCUUGGUUACUAUGCAACCACAUGAGAACAACAUGCACACCACAGUAGCUGAAUCGCCAUUUUGGAUUAAAGCUCUGCAAUAAUAAUAAACAGCCUCUGGCACCGAGAUGUUGUUUUCCAGCAGCGUGCGAGUGCCAAAAUUCAGAAUGAACUGCAAUAGUAUUUAAUGCAGUGGAAAAGCAUCAGACGUCCAAACCCACAUAGCUUUUGCCACUUUGAAGGGCCUGUAAUCCCGCAGCAAUUCACUGGCUCACAGCAACACAGAAACCCGAAACGCUGCCAAAGACAUUAUUGCGCAGUUAUUGCUUUGCCUUCGUAUGAACUGCGGUAUACUCUGCUCACUGUGUUGAAAUGAGUCUCUCAGGGGACAGAAAUGUAAUUGCACCAGUAGAAAAUUGCUGCCUUUUUUUGUAACCUCAACUUGACCACAACCGAUUUUUUUCUUUGUUUGUGUUUGCUGGAAGCCCGUCCAUGUCUUUACAUGGGGAAGAUUAGAAAAAAACCCCAGCUGCAUUGGAUUUUUACUGUGCUGGAGAAGGAAUGGCUCAUGCUUAUUUUGAAGAGGCUCCAAAGAUUAUUUGGUGGGAUUUGAGAGGAGCUCAAGUGAACUUUACCCUCUCUCAGAGGAAGGGAAGGGAAACAGAGACGCUGCCGCUGCCAGAGUUAUUUGAGGCUCGGUUCAAUUUAGAAGGGAGCAAGCCGCUGUGGUCACAUUAGCAUCUUGCGCAUCGCUCAUUUAUUCAGGUGUUUCAUCUCAAGGCUCCGCUUACUUUCCCCCAAUCAACUUCUGUUGCCCUGUCUCCUUGAAAGCACACAUGAGAGGCGGUUAUGCAAACUGUACAGGCGCCCUUUUCAGCUGAGUUGCGACUAUGUGAGCGCCUUGCUCUGUUAGCGUGACAUGUCAUCAUCGUGGCCUCCAUGACCACUUGGCCCGCUUUCUUGGAAACCUCUUGACUAUUUUUCCUGGCGGCGAGCCAUAUCAAACAGAAUGGUGAAAGAGUGUGCGUUGUAAUUGAAUCCAAUGAACAGGAUAAACACGGCAAGGAGAGCAAGGAGUCACGGGAGUUGUUGGGCCCCUCGGGCGCUGCUCCACCCACACGGAGUGUUUAUGGGUCCCACACGCUGUUGCCACCUCCUCUACACGUGUACUGCAACGUACACAGAAUGAACAAGUUGCGCUGUGUUACGCUGUCAUACACACGCGAGAUGGGUUCAACCGAAGUCAAGUAUUCGACGUGUCGAAGUAUAUGACACGUAUUUCAUUGUGCUUAGCCCAUGUUUUCAUUUCUUUAUUGUCGUUGCAUGCACCAAUAUUUGAAAAUGAACUGUACGCAACUGUGUUCGAACGUUCUACAGAGAAAUGACUGUUCCUUGACCGUACUGGACGGAUGGACAAGUAUUCUCACAGAUACAUUCUAAUUCCUUCCCAGAAAACUGGAAACCUUGGCAAAAGGGUGAGAAGACUGGUCUAAUGACUGGAUGUUAUCUGCCACACAACAAUCAUAAAUGAUUUAGAUUUUUGGAUGUCUGAAUUAAUUACGGUCUCUUCAAUAAUCAUUUUCCUUUUUUAAAUAACCAGUUUAACUUUUUUUGAUCAUAUAAAUUCACAGAGAUUUU